UCGAUGCAACGCGAAGAACCUUACCAAGGCUUGACAUGAACCGGAAAGACCUGGAAACAGGUGCCCCGCUUGCGGUCGGUUUACAGGUGGUGCAUGGUUGUCGUCAGCUCGUGUCGUGAGAUGUUGGGUUAAGUCCCGCAACGAGCGCAACCCUCGUUCUAUGUUGCCAGCGGUUCGGCCGGGGACUCAUAGGAGACUGCCGGGGUCAACUCGGAGGAAGGUGGGGACGACGUCAAAUCAUCAUGCCCCUUAUGUCUUGGGCUUCACGCAUGCUACAAUGGCCGGUACAAAGGGUUGCGAUACUGUGAGGUGGAGCUAAUCCCAAAAAGCCGGUCUCAGUUCGGAUUGGGUGAGUAGUUAUAGUUGCA
rnacentral:rRNA from 1 species